rnacentral:rRNA from 1 species
GCCCUACGGGGGGCAGCAGUCGGGAAUAUUGCGCAAUGGAGGAAACUCUGACGCAGUGACGCCGCGUGCAGGAAGAAGGUUUUGGGAUUGUAAACUGCUUUCGACAGGGAAGAAACAAGACAGUACCUGUAGAAUAAGCUCCGGCUAACUACGUGCCAGCAGCCGCGGUAAUACGUAGGGAGCAAGCGUUAUCCGGAUUUAUUGGGUGUAAAGGGUGCGUAGACGGGAAGGCAAGUUGGCUGCGAAAUCCCUCGGCUUAACUGAGGAACUGCAACCAAAACUAUCUUUCUUGAUUGCUGGAGAGG